UACAGAGGGGGCAAGCGUUGUUCGGAAUUACUGGGCGUAAAGGGUGUGUAGGCGGUUGUUUAAGUUUGGUGUGAAAUCUCCCGGCUCAACUGGGAGGGUGCGCCGAAUACUGAAUGACUAGAGUGCGGGAGAGGAAAGUGGAAUUCCUGGUGUAGCGGUGAAAUGCGUAGAUAUCAGGAGGAACACCGGUGGUGUAGACGGCUUUCUGGACCGUAACUGACGCUGAGACACGAAAGCGUGGGUAGCAAACAGG
rnacentral:rRNA from 1 species